CGAUUCUCUUAUUAACACGCAGCCGUCAGGGAGUAUACAACAAAGACUAUGGGAUUUCUAAACACCCUCACAGUUAAGGAAUCAAAAGAGGAAUUGUUUAAAAUGCUGCAUUCGGCAACCACCCUGGACAUGGCGGGGUGUUCAAACAGCUCUUCCAGACCCCUCCAGCAACCAUAAGAGAAUAGGGGCUGGAAAUUAAUUGUAGUUUUGGGGCCGCCCGAAGGCGUAAAGUUUCUUUGCAUGUGGAAUAUUUCGAGGUGUUAUAAACGGAAUGACUAGAUAAGUAUACCCCCAUCCUAUGUUGGUGGGUAUAAAAAAGGUUGCCAAACAAUUCAUUAUAAAGAGUUUAGUUUGUGUGAGAAUUUCAACUUGCGAUGUAAAAACAAUUACAGAGAAGUAUUCAUUAUUGAGAAGUUCGUUAUAGAGAGGUUAAAUAGGUGAAAAUUUUUAUUCGUUAUAGAGAAGCUCGAGUGUAAAUAAAUCUAACCUAAAUUAAAUUCUCAUAUCUGGAACACGUCAUGGGAAAUAACAAAUUCCUAAUUUUGCAAGAAAUUCUCAAGGGAAAAGUUGAUGCAAGACAUGGUAGUGGCAAAAAUGAGACGUCAUGGCUGAAAAAUAUCCAGGAUUGGAACGGCUAUAUCAAUGACCGCACCCUCCUUUGUGCCGCUAAAAAUUUAGAACUGAUAAUUAUCGCCUAACAAAUUAUUAAAAGUUCAAAUUCAAUAUCUACAUACAUACAUUACUUUUAACAUUUUCAUAUAUGUACAUAGGUACAAAAAUUGUUCUAUUACUAAUAUCCGAAUCAGAUGAGUGAAUAAAGAUUAAUCGCAACAUGCCACUAUGCACGUACACCUAA